rnacentral:rRNA from 1 species
AUUGAACGCUGGCGGCAGGCCUAACACAUGCAAGUCGAGCGGAUGAAGGGAGCUUGCUCCUGGAUUCAGCGGCGGACGGGUGAGUAAUGCCUAGGAAUCUGCCUGGUAGUGGGGGAUAACGUCCGGAAACGGGCGCUAAUACCGCAUACGUCCUGCGGGAGAAAGUGGGGGAUCUUCGGACCUCACGCUAUCAGAUGAGCCUAGGUCGGAUUAGCUAGUUGGUGGGGUAAAGGCCUACCAAGGCGACGAUCCGUAACUGGUCUGAGAGGAUGAUCAGUCACACUGGAACUGAGACACGGGCCAGGCUCCUACGGGAGGCAGCAGUGGGGAAUAUUGGACAAUGGGCGAAAGCCUGAUCCGGCCAUGCCGCGUGUGUGAAGAAGGUCUUCGGAUUGUAAAGCACUUUAAGUUGGGAGGAAGGGCAGUAAGUUAAUACCUUGCUGUUUUGACGUUACCAACAGAAUAAGCACCGGCUAACUUCGUG